rnacentral:rRNA from 1 species
GAUGAACGCUGGCGGCGUGCCUAAUACAUGCAAGUCGAGCGAACAGACGAGGAGCUUGCUCCUCUGACGUUAGCGGCGGACGGGUGAGUAACGCGUGGAUAACCUACCUAUAAGACUGGGAUAACUUCGGGAAACCGGAGCUAAUACCGGAUAAUAUAUUGAACCGCAUGGUUCAAUAGUGAAAGACGGCUUUGCUGUCACUUAUAGAUGGAUCCGCGCCGCAUUAGCUAGUUGGUAAGGUAACGGCUUACCAAGGCAACGAUGCGUAGCCGACCUGAGAGGGUGAUCGGCCACACUGGAACUGAGACACGGUCCAGACUCCUACGGGAGGCAGCAGUAGGGAAUCUUCCGCAAUGGGCGAAAGCCUGACGGAGCAACGCCGCGUGAGUGAUGAAGGUCUUCGGAUCGUAAAACUCUGUUAUUAGGGAAGAACAAAUGUGUAAGUAACUAUGCACGUCUUGACGGUACCUAAUCAGAAAGCCACGGCUAACUACGUG